GAUGAACGCUGGCGGCGUGCUUAACACAUGCAAGUCGAACGAAGCACUUUAUUUGAUUUCCUUCGGGACUGAUUAUUUUGUGACUGAGUGGCGGACGGGUGAGUAACGCGUGGGUAACCUGCCUUGUACAGGGGGAUAACAGUUGGAAACGGCUGCUAAUACCGCAUAAGCGCACGGCAUCGCAUGAUGCAGUGUGAAAAACUCCGGUGGUAUAAGAUGGACCCGCGUUGGAUUAGCUAGUUGGUGAGGUAACGGCCCACCAAGGCGACGAUCCAUAGCCGACCUGAGAGGGUGACCGGCCACAUUGGGACUGAGACACGGCCCAAACUCCUACGGGAGGCAGCAGUGGGGAAUAUUGCACAAUGGGCGAAAGCCUGAUGCAGCGACGCCGCGUGAGCGAAGAAGUAUUUCAGUAUGUAAAGCUCUAUCAGCAGGGAAGAUAAUGACGGUACCUGACUAAGAAGCACCGGCUAAAUACGUG
rnacentral:rRNA from 1 species